rnacentral:rRNA from 1 species
CACCGUCCAUCCCUGAAACAUCGCCACGUCCCGCCACGCCCCCAAAUGUCCGUGGCCAUCGGCGGCGGCGUCGACCCCCGUGUCCAAUGCCCAAGCCCCACCAAGCCUCGCCAGCGCCGCCGACGCCGCUCCCGCUCCCGCUCUCCAUCCUCCCGCCGCGGAGCUGCCCGCUCGCCACCGCGCUGCUGGCGCUGCUCUCGCUGCUCCUCGCCACCGCGCUGUGGCUCGUGCUCGUGCUGUCCCCGGCCCAGGCCCCCGUGGCGUCCUCCUCCUCCGCGCUGUCCUACGCGGCGGCGGCGGAUGAGGCGCUCUCCUCUGGCGACGCGGCCUCCCCACUCUCGCUCGCCCACAUCGUCUUCGGGAUCGCGGGCUCCGCGCACCUCUGGCCGCGCCGCCGCGAGUACGUCCGCCUCUGGUGGGAUCCCGCCUCUAUGCGCGGCAACGUCUGGCUCGACGCCAGCGCGCCCGGAGCGCCGGGCCCCAGCGCUGCCGGGGAGGACUCGCUCCCGCCGAUCCGGGUGUCCGAGGACACCUCGCGCUUCCGGUACACCAACCCGACGGGCCACCCUUCUGGGCUCCGGAUCGCGCGCAUCGCUGCCGAGGCCGUGCGGCUCGUGGGGGGUGGGGGCGCGCGGUGGGUGGUGCUCGUGGACGACGACACCGUGCUGUCCCCGGACAACCUGGUGGCGGUGCUCGGGAAGUACGACUGGAGAGAGAUGGUGUACGUCGGGGCCCCGUCGGAGAGCCACUCGGCCAACACCUAUUUCAGCCACGGUAUGGCGUUCGGAGGCGGAGGCGUCGCGCUCAGCUUCCCCCUCGCCGCUGCGCUCGCGCGGACACUAGACGUGUGCAUCGAGAGGUACCCCAGGCUGUAUGGAAGCGACGACCGCCUCCAUGCUUGCAUCACGGAGCUUGGCGUGCCCCUUUCCCGCGAACAUGGAUUCCAUCAGUGGGAUAUCAGAGGCAAUGCCCAUGGUAUAUUGGCUGCUCAUCCAAUUGCUCCUUUCAUCAGUAUCCACCAUGUGGAGUUUGUGGAUCCUAUAUAUCCUGGAUUGAACUCUCUUGAGAGCUUGGAGCUUUUUACGAAGGCUAUGAAAAUAGAACCCAUGAGCUUCUUGCAGCGCUCAGUUUGUUAUGAUAAGAGGCAGAAGCUUACACUAGCCAUCUCUUUGGGUUAUGUUGUUCAAGUGUACCCCAGUGUUCUUCUUCCUCCUGAAUUGGAGCGAUCCGAGCGGACUUACACCGCUUUUAAUAGGAUGAGCCAGAGAACUGAAUUUGAUUUUGACACCAAGGAAAUUCAGAAGUCUAUGUGCAAGAGGCCAGUCUUAUUUUUCUUGAAGGAUGUUUGGAAGGAUGGGAACAUAACCAGAGGCUCUUACAUAAGGUCAAGUGAACGGGAUGACCUCAAAAGGAAGGUGUUUUGCUUCAGGUCACCUCCUUUAUCUGGCAUAGAUGAGAUUCAAGUUUCUGCGUCCCCAUUAAGCAAAAGAUGGCAUCUGGCACCAAGAAGGUUAUGCAGUGCUGUGAAAGAAUCUAUUAAUGGUACUCUGUUUAUGUUUGUUCGGCAAUGUGGGCGCAGAGCAUUCGGCUCCGCUUCUGAUUCUCUUGAUUGAUGGAGAACAGAGAUGUAUAUUUUCUGUCCAGAUGAUACCUGCAAGAUGUAGUUACCAUCCUACAUUCUUUGGAUCAAGUGUUCUGGGGGCUCUUUUUCUGCCUCAAGCACUUGGCAGUAAUUGGAGGCUUGUUAUACUUGAUAGUUGUUGAAGGUAGUUUCUGUAUCUUCUCCGAGCUAGUAUUACGCCUUCUCGACUACGGUUGAUCUGUCAUCCAAUGGGAUUCAUAUCUGGCAUCGGCCUUACAGCAUCAGUCCACAGCAUCUUACUGACUAGUAGAAGAUGGUUUUCAUGCUAAUCGUUGCCAACCAGUUGGUUAGUUGCAAAAAGUAAGAAAAUGGUAUGAAUGCACAAGCAGGUGAAAUUUUGUUUUCCCGUCUGCAUUUUGGACUCCCAAUGUCAUGUGUUUGCGUCUGCUGCUUUUGAGUUCCUGCCCUGACAUUUCCACAUGAUGCUAACUUUUGAGCAAAGUUUGCCGAGGUGAACCAGUCCUAGUACAAUGCAAAAGUUGCCAGAUUGACCUGUCGAAUCGCCUUUUUUUGUAGAAGUUGCUGAGAUAGAAGAACCUGAUGUGGGCCGUUCUGAUUUAUAUGUAGAGGCCUGGCCUAAUAUAUGAAAAACGUAGUGACUUCCAUGUGCUAGAAGUUCAUUGAAAUAUUGAAGAAAUACGAGGUUCUAG